CAAGCGUUAAGCUUAAUUGCACAUCUGCUAUGGAAAACCAAGAAUUUAAAUCGGCGAAGAGAAGAAUCGAUCAUAAUUUCUAUAAAAUUUUAUUUUUAAUAUUGAGAAUCACUCAAUUAGUGGAUAUUUGUAAUUUGUGAAAUCGCUACGAUCGAAGCAUCGAAAACGUGCGGCAAAUUCUUCACACAAUCUUUUAUAUCUACCUGCAUAACCGCUGCAGUGCUUAUAGUAACAUUAUUGUUAAGUUUGUUCUGCAAAAUACAGAAUUGUCUCUCACAAUAUUUGAUAACGAUGUUUGUGAUCGAUGUGAUAUUCACUUUUAUAUUUGCACACUCCAGCCUCUUCGUAACUUUUAGUAUUAGAAAUUGUGAAAAAUUCAGAUUUGAGAAAAUUUCUGCGUCCAUUUUCACUAUAUUGGAAUUUUUAUGCUUCUAUAUUUCUUCCUCGGCUGAUUUGUGUUGGUUCCGUUCAGUAUAUGAACCUUAUCAAGAUUAACUUUAAUAUUCUUAUAAACUGUAAUUGUUUCAUUGUUAUCAUAAUUUAC
rnacentral:misc_RNA from 1 species